rnacentral:misc_RNA from 1 species
UUCGAGCGUCAUUUCAACCCUCACGCGUAGCGUGGUCUUGGGCUCUGCCGGCAACGGCUUGCCUUAAAAUCAGUGGCGGUGCCAUCGAGCUCUACGCGUAGUAAUAAACCCCUCGCGUGUGAGUCUCGGCGGUCGCUUGCCAGCAACCCCCAAUUUUUAUGGUUGACCUCGAAUCAGGUAGGGAUACCCGCUGAACUUAA